rnacentral:rRNA from 1 species
AACGAACGCUGGCGGCAUGCCUAACACAUGCAAGUCGAACGAGACCUUCGGGUCUAGUGGCGCACGGGUGCGUAACGCGUGGGAACCUGCCCUUAGGUUCGGAAUAACUCCCCGACAGGGGUGCUAAUACCGGAUAAUGUCUUCGGACCAAAGAUUUAUCGCCAUUGAGUGGGCCCGCGUUGGAUUAGCUAGUUGGUAGGGUAAAAGCCUACCAAGGCGACGAUCCAUAGCUGGUCUGAGAGGAUGAUCAGCCACACUGGGACUGAGACACGGCCCAGACUCCUACGGGAGGCAGCAGUGGGGAAUAUUGGACAAUGGGCGAAAGCCUGAUCCAGCAAUGCCGCGUGAGUGAUGAAGGCCUUAGGGUUGUAAAGCUCUUUUACCCGGGAUGAUAAUGACAGUACCGGGAGAAUAAGCUCCGGCUAACUCCGUG